AUCAAAGUCCAGCAGCUUUUUAUGUCCGAGCUGCUUGUCACUAAGAAGUUUUCCAGCACACGAUCUUCUCCUGGCGCGAACUGCACAUCCCUCCGGUUCCAGUCAGGAUGCAAGAACUGGUCCCAGCUGGACGCCAAGAACUGCUUGACCACCAGCUGAGCAGAAAGACAAAGACAAACGGGUCAGGGAUGUGUUGUUCCUGAAAACAGAGCGUGCUGCACACAGACGUGGUUUCCCUGAAUGAAGCAACAACCCUGUAGAUAAAGACUUUAUGAUCCACA